rnacentral:rRNA from 1 species
AGUGAACGCUGGCGGUAGGCCUAACACAUGCAAGUCGAACGGCAGCACAGUAAGAGCUUGCUCUUACGGGUGGCGAGUGGCGGACGGGUGAGGAAUACAUCGGAAUCUACUUUUUCGUGGGGGAUAACGUAGGGAAACUUACGCUAAUACCGCAUACGACCUACGGGUGAAAGCAGGGGAUCUUCGGACCUUGCGCGAUUGAAUGAGCCGAUGUCGGAUUAGCUAGUUGGCGGGGUAAAGGCCCACCAAGGCGACGAUCCGUAGCUGGUCUGAGAGGAUGAUCAGCCACACUGGAACUGAGACACGGUCCAGACUCCUACGGGAGGCAGCAGUGGGGAAUAUUGGACGAUGGGCGCAAGCCUGAUCCAGCCAUACCGCGUGGGUGAAGAAGGCCUUCGGGUUGUAAAGCCCUUUUGUUGGGAAAGAAAAGCAGCAGGUUAAUACCCCGCUGUUCUGACGGUACCCAAAGAGUAAGCACCGGCUAACUUCGUG